rnacentral:rRNA from 1 species
UGAAGGCCGUAAGGUUGUAAAAUCCUUUUGUCGGUGAAGAAUAAGGGAGGGAGUGGAAAGCCCUCCUGAUGACGUUAACCGGCGAAUAAGCCCCGGCUAAUUACGUGC